GAAUCAUACGGAACGGGCUGCCGUGGCAGGUCGAGCGGAGAUGAGGUGCUUGCACCUUAUCUUAGCGGCGGACGGGUGAGUAAUGCUUAGGAAUCUGCCUAUUAGUGGGGGACAACAUUCCGAAAGGAAUGCUAAUACCGCAUACGUCCUACGGGAGAAAGCAGGGGAUCUUCGGACCUUGCGCUAAUAGAUGAGCCUAAGUCGGAUUAGCUAGUUGGUGGGGUAAAGGCCUACCAAGGCGACGAUCUGUAGCGGGUCUGAGAGGAUGAUCCGCCACACUGGGACUGAGACACGGCCCAGACUCCUACGGGAGGCAGCAGUGGGGAAUAUUGGACAAUGGGGGGAACCCUGAUCCAGCCAUGCCGCGUGUGUGAAGAAGGCCUUAUGGUUGUAAAGCACUUUAAGCGAGGAGGAGGCUACUGAGACUAAUACUCUUGGAUAGUGGACGUUACUCGCAGAAUAAGCACCGGCUAACUCUGUGCCAGCAGCCGCGGUAAUACAGAGGGUGCGAGCGUUAAUCGGAUUUACUGGGCGUAAAGCGUGCGUAGGCGGCUUUUUAAGUCGGAUGUGAAAUCCCCGAGCUUAACUUGGGAAUUGCAUUCGAUACUGGGAAGCUAGAGUAUGGGAGAGGAUGGUAGAAUUCCAGGUGUAGCGGUGAAAUGCGUAGAGAUCUGGAGGAAUACCGAUGGCGAAGGCAGCCAUCUGGCCUAAUACUGACGCUGAGGUACGAAAGCAUGGGGAGCAAACAGGAUUAGAUACCCUGGUAGUCCAUGCCGUAAACGAUGUCUACUAGCCGUUGGGGCCUUUGAGGCUUUAGUGGCGCAGCUAACGCGAUAAGUAGACCGCCUGGGGAGUACGGUCGCAAGACUAAAACUCAAAUGAAUUGACGGGGCCCGCACAAGCGGUGGAGCAUGUGGUUUAAUUCGAUGCACGCGAAGAACCUUACCUGG
rnacentral:rRNA from 1 species